rnacentral:rRNA from 1 species
AGCGAACGCUGGCGGCAGGCCUAACACAUGCAAGUCGAACGAACUCUUCGGAGUUAGUGGCGGACGGGUGAGUAACACGUGGGAACGUGCCUUUUGGUUCGGAAUAACUCAGGGAAACUUGUGCUAAUACCGAAUGUGCCCUUCGGGGGAAAGAUUUAUCGCCAUUAGAGCGGCCCGCGUCUGAUUAGCUAGUUGGUGAGGUAACGGCUCACCAAGGCGACGAUCAGUAGCGGGUCUGAGAGGAUGACCAGCCACACUGGGACUGAGACACGGCCCAGACUCCUACGGGAGGCAGCAGUGGGGAAUCUUGCGCAAUGGGCGAAAGCAUGACGCAGCCAUGCCGCGUGAAUGAUGAAGGUAUUAGGAUUGUAAAAUUCUUUCACCGGGGACGAUAAUGACGGUACCCGGAGAAGAAGCCCCGGCUAACUUCGUG